rnacentral:rRNA from 1 species
UACGUAGGGGGCAAGCGUUGUCCGGAAUCAUUGGGCGUAAAGAGCGUGUAGGCGGCCAGAAAAGUCCGCUGUGAAAACUCGAGGCUCAACUUCGAGCUGUCGGUGGAAACUUUCUGGCUAGAGUCCGGAAGAGGAGAACGGAAUUCCUGGUGUAGCGGUGAAAUGCGCAGAUAUCAGGAAGAACACCCGUGGCGAAGGCGGUUCUCUGGGACGGUACUGACGCUGAGACGCGAAAGCGUGGGGAGCGAACAGG